CUCUGAGUCAACCAACUCAGAGCGCAGGAUUAAACUCAGAGUAUGUUAAACCAGCUACCUGAAACAGGCCUCAGGUGUAAUGGUGCUGUGUUAUGUGGCCAUGCAGAUUGUGUGACAGUAUAUUAUCUUCAAGGGGACCUUAUACCAGAGGGUGAGCUGGCUUGGCAAGUGAUACUAGACCUGAAGGAAAUCAUAGAGUUGGUUGUGGCACCUGUUCACACGCACGGGACCAUUGCGUACCUUGAUGUCAAAGUGUCUGAGCACAGACACAGGUUGCUUGAGCUUAUCCCAGGGAUCAACUACAGAAAUGGGAUGUUUUUGGCAUGUGGCUUGUGGCCUACACAAUCGGAUCCAGACGUAUGGUGACCCUGAAGAGACACAUCGUCAUUACAGAUUAGCAAAGCAGGAUGGCAGCACGAGUAACCUUCAGAGUCCUCUUUGGAGGUGAAGAGGAUGCAAGAAAACUCUCCAUUGAAUCCGGAAUACCAAGAACUGUGGAGGACUUGGCUCUUAAAAUCAAGACUUUCUUUGAAGUGACUGAGAAGUUCAGACUUCAGUACAAAGACAAAGACAUGGAUAAUCAGUUCAUGAAUCUCUUGUCAACAUCAGAACUUGAAGAUAAAGGGACUUUGAAAGUGGUGUACAUGCUUUGUGAGACAACCAGGUCCGCUCCACUCACGGAAGAUGCCUGCUGCACAAUCCCAGGUACUCCUUCCAAAGCCAGCUCUUCAUCACAAGAACCAAGUGAUUCAGACUCCCACUCCAGCAAUGAUACCAUCGUCUUGUCAUCGCCUGAGACCCGGUCCUGCCCCUGGCCUAGACCCUUUGUCGUGCCCCGCUUCUCAUCCUGUGCUGAGAUUAUGCUCCAGAAAGGAAAUGAUGAGUUCAAGGCACAGGGAACUGUUCUGUGUCCUACGCCAAAAGUACGCUCAGAUAUCCUUGAAGGCCUAGCUGAGGAAAUAAUAAAGUACACAGCUUACCCAAGGGAUGAGCAAUUAGAGGAAGUGGCAAAGGCUCUGAUACAGUCACAUCCAUGUUUACUGGAAAAAGUAACACGAACUGGAUACUGUGGCUCGAAGCAUUACCUGAAGAUAAAAAUGAUGAACUUCCGCACCAAGCUGAGCCGAGCUGGACAUCCCGAGGUUGCCAUCAACUCUCUGAAAAACAAGCAAAGUGGCCAGCAGUCUCCAGCAGCCAAC